CAAUAGCGUAUAUUAAAGUUGAUGCAGUUAAAAAGCUCGUAGGUGGAUUUCUGGUGGGAGCGAUCGGUCUGGCGCUUAGCGCGAGUACUUGCAUCGUCUCCGGCCAUCCUUGGGGAGAGUCUGUCUGGCAUUAAGUUGUCGGGCAGAGGAUCCUCAUCGUUUACUGUGAAAAAAUUAGAGUGUUCAAAGCAGGCUUAUGCCGUUGAAUAUAUUAGCAUGGAAUAAUAAGAUAGGACUUUGGUACUAUUUUGUUGGUUUGCGCACCAAAGUAAUGAUUAAUAGGGACAGUUGGGGGUAUUCGUAUUCCGUUGUCAGAGGUGAAAUUCUUGGAUUUACGGAAGACGAACUACUGCGAAAGCAUUUACCAAGGAUGUUUUCAUUAA
rnacentral:rRNA from 1 species